rnacentral:rRNA from 1 species
UACGUGGGUGGCGAGCGUUGUCCGGAUUUACUGGGCGUAAAGGGAGCGUAGGCGGACUUUUAAGUGAGAUGUGAAAUACUCGGGCUCAACUUGAGUGCUGCAUUUCAAACUGGAAGUCUAGAGUGCAGGAGAGGAGAAUGGAAUUCCUAGUGUAGCGGUGAAAUGCGUAGAGAUUAGGAAGAACACCAGUGGCGAAGGCGAUUCUCUGGACUGUAACUGACGCUGAGGCUCGAAAGCGUGGGGAUCAAACAGG